GGUUUUCUCAUGGCAACUUGCUUGAAAACCGCCUCUGGCAAUCAGAUGCUGCACCAGUUUGUUCCGCAUAAUUGCGAAAGUAUUGCAAUUUGCUGUCUUCCGCUUUCGAGUAAGUCCUACUUCAGAACUUAAUUGAAUUAUCCGUGUGGCGUGCCGCAACAAAAACCUCGCCAAGCCGCAAAAUGAAAUUGUUUGCCAAAGGACACGAGCGCAGAUCUGGGCCGAAAGAACGGAAAACCCAACUGAAAACCCGAGUCAUGUUUUAAUAAUUUUGCAAGACCAACAGCGCUGGCGAAAUUCAAUUUUAUUCAAUAAUAUUAGCUGCUGGCAUUCGGAGCAUAUUCGGCUUGUGGUCGCCAACUUUUGCCUGGGUCCCUGUCCUGCCUGCAACCGCAUUGGGAAUCUGGAUCCGGUUCUAGAUCUGGAGCCUGAAGCCCCCAAAGGACUCCGUGUGAGCAGGGAGCGUCUUGCCCAACCCAACUGCUGCACCUCCGGCUCGAUUUGUUUGACUUGGCACGCAAACUUGGAGCCAAGUUUUGGCUAGUUAAGCCAAAAACCGCCAUCUGCCGCAUAUGGAAAUUGGGUCGGGCUAAAUUCACUCCUUGGCCACCGGGAGUUAGGAACCCCCCGAUGUUGGCUGUGUAAUCUACUUGGGCUGCUAACACAAGCCAACUUCGAGGCGCCUUUGUUGAUUUUAUACCGCAGCUGGUGCGAAGUUAUAUCACAGACCCUUGGGGCCUGAUUCCCUAAUUUGUUAUUGGCCAGCCAUUCGAUUCGAGGUGGCAAAACUCGGUGUUGGCUCAUAGGAAAUGCAUAUGGAAUUUAAUUGGCCUACCAAUGGACGGCCAGCACAACUUUGUGAAUCCGUUUUUUCUGAGUUUUCUCAGAACAGCCAAGGGAACUUUCUUCGAUUUUACCGAAUAACUAUGCUGAUAUUAGAGCCGAAGUUAAGUAGGUAAACCUACCCACCCUUUGUCUAUGGUGUUUAUUAAAUCUUAUAAAUGAACAGCCUACGGAACUUUCUUCGAUUUUUCCCCAUAAGUAUGCUGAUAUUAGAGCCCAAGUUAAGUAGGUCCACCCACCCACUCCUUUGCCAUUUAAAUGUUCAUUUCUGGGCUCCGACCAGAUGCUGCGAAAUCCGAGACGCUCACAAAUUAUAUGUUAAUGCAAUUGUAAUUGAUACAAAUUUGAUAUC